rnacentral:lncRNA from 1 species
CAAAAAUGCCAUGAGCAGAUUUAUAAGAGCCAAAGACUUAUAAGUGGAGGUGAAUACGCAGGAAGGUUUUCUCAACCCGCUCGCUGCUCCUAUGAGAUGCCUGUGGAGUUCCGAGUCUGUGUGGCUAAAACCAUGAAGUUCUAAUUACUGGAACAGUGCUGGCUUGAUCUGCUGCUGGUUUGAUGGAAGAUCUGUCUGGAGAGGUCCUGACUCUGCCCAACAGAUUAGAUUAGUACUCCAGUUAUACAGUCUGGGUCUCUCCACAGACCUGAGUGGAGGAGAAGCCCCCGUGGGAGUUCUGUUGCUUGAUGAUCCACUUCACAAUCUUGGAUGCUGUGGACAGGUCUGAUGAAGACAGGUCCCGUGUGGGCCGGGAAGACUCAGAGGUUAGAUAGGCAAGAAGCACGAGCCAUUACCUGAAAAAUGCUGUGUGCAUCACUAUCGCCCAGAGGGUGCUUUGGCGAGUACACGAUCCCAUUGCGAGUGAUGUCUUCUCCACUGAUGCAGUUCUCAUGGUCUCUGUACACUGGGACACCAAAGAAGGCACCCUGGACAGUCUUUCCUGGCAGCAAACUGUAGAUCUGUGCAUUGGAGGAGAACAAAGGGCUGGACCUGGAGGCAAGAUGCAGAGGCUAACCAUAAAACCCGUGAAGCAUCCAUGAAGCCUGUAAAUGAAGACGCUUCUGUGGAAAUACAAAGGCAUUUUAAAGACAUGUUUGAGAAGAAACUGUUCUUGCCCACUCUUGAGACAAGUAAGUGUCUGAUUUCAGGGACAGCACCAAAGACUUAGCACCUUACACAAUCACCUUGAGUUGUGGCCGGCUAGCAAAUGGUCCGGACGAAAUUUAACUUCUCUAAAACGUAUUGUAGCAAAAUAAACCCAUCCUAUUUGUGUGUUAUCAUUCGUAAAAUGAAGUGAUAAGACAGA